rnacentral:rRNA from 1 species
AACAAAAACAUCGCUUUAUGUGUAUAUAUAAAGUAAGACCUGCCCAAUGAUAAAAUUUAAUGGCCGCAGUAUUUUGACUGUGCAAAGGUAGCAUAAUAAUUAGUUUUUUAAUUAAAAGCUUGUAUGAAUGGUUUAAUGAAAUAUAUACUUUAUUAGUUUAAAUAUAAUAGAAUUUAAUUUUUUAGUUAAAAAGCUUAAAUGAUUUUAAAAGACGAGAAGACCCUAUAGAUCUUUAUUUAAUUAGUUAUAAAUAAUUUUUGUUUAUAUUAAUAUUUUAAUGAAUUAAAUUUUAUUGGGGUAAUAUAAAGAUUACAAUAAUUCUUUAUUUUUUAAACCAUUUAUAUAUGAUUAUUUGAUCCUUUAUUAUGGAUUAUAAGAUUAAGUUACCUUAGGGAUAACAGCGUAAUUUUUUUGAAGAGUUCUUAUCAAUAAAAAAGAUUGCGACCUCGAUGUUG